rnacentral:rRNA from 1 species
UGGCGACGGGUGAGUAACACGUGAGUAACCUGCCCUCCACUCUGGGAUAAGCGCUGGAAACGGCGUCUAAUACUGGAUACGACCGACCCUCGCAUGGGGUGUUGGUGGAAAGAUUUAUCGGUGGUGGAUGGACUCGCGGCCUAUCAGCUUGUUGGUGGGGUAAUGGCCUACCAAGGCGACGACGGGUAGCCGGCCUGAGAGGGCGACCGGCCACACUGGGACUGAGACACGGCCCAUACUCCUACGGGAGGCAGCAGUGGGGAAUAUUGCACAAUGGGCGAAAGCCUGAUGCAGCGACGCCGCGUGAGGGAUGACGGCCUUCGGGUUGUAAACCUCUUUCAGCAGGGAAGAAGCUUUUGUGACGGUACCUGCAGAAGAAGCACCGGCUAACUACGUGCCAGCAGCCGCGGUAAUACGUAGGGUGCGAGCGUUGUCCGGAAUUAUUGGGCGUAAAGAGCUUGUAGGCGGUUUGUCGCGUCUGCUGUGAAAAUUCAGGGCUUAACCCUGGACGUGCAGUGGGUACGGGCAGACUANANUGUGGUAGGGGAGACUGGAAUUCCNGGUGUAGCGGGGGGAAUGCGCAGAUUUCAUGAUGAACACCNAUGGCGNAANGCAUGUCUCUGGGCCAUUACUGAANAUUUAUA